rnacentral:rRNA from 1 species
GAUGAACCUUGGCGGCGUGCCUAUACAUGCAAGUCGAGCGAACAGACAAGGAGCUUGCUCCUUUGACGUUAGCGGCGGACGGGUGAGUAACACGUGGGUAACCUACCUAUAAGACUGGGAUAACUUCGGGAAACCGGAGCUAAUACCGGAUAAUAUUUCGAACCGCAUGGUUCGAUAGUGAAAGAUGGUUUUGCUAUCACUUAUAGAUGGACCCGCGCCGUAUUAGCUAGUUGGUAAGGUAACGGCUUACCUAGGCGACGAUACGUAGCCGACCUGAGAGGGUGAUCGGCCACACUGGAACUGAGACACGGUCCAGACUCCUACGGGAGGCAGCAGUAGGGAAUCUUCCGCAAUGGGCGAAAGCCUGACGGAGCAACGCCGCGUGAGUGAUGAAGGUCUUCGGAUCGUAAAACUCUGUUAUUAGGGAAGAACAUACGUGUAAGUAACUAUGCACGUCUUGACGGUACCUAAUCAGAAAGCCACGGCUAACUACGUGCCAGCAGCCGCGGUAAUACGUAGGUGGCAAGCGUUAUCCGGAAUUAUUGGGCGUAAAGCGCGCGUAGGCGGUUUUUUAAGUCUGAUGUGAAAGCCCACGGCUCAACCGUGGAGGGUCAUUGGAAACUGGAAAACUUGAGUGCAGAAGAGGAAAGUGGAAUUCCAUGUGUAGCGGUGAAAUGCGCAGAGAUAUGGAGGAACACCAGUGGCGAAGGCGACUUUCUGGUCUGUAACUGACGCUGAUGUGCGAAAGCGUGGGGAUCAAACAGGAUUAGAUACCCUGGUAGUCCACGCCGUAAACGAUGAGUGCUAAGUGUUAGGGGGUUUCCGCCCCUUAGUGCUGCAGCUAACGCAUUAAGCACUCCGCCUGGGGAGUACGACCGCAAGGUUGAAACUCAAAGGAAUCGACGGGGACCCGCACAAGCGGUGGAGCAUGUGGUUUAAUUCGAAGCAACGCGAAGAACCUUACCAAAUCUUGACAUCCUUUGACAACUCUAGAGAUAGAGCCUUCCCCUUCGGGGGACAAAGUGACAGGUGGUGCAUGGUUGUCGUCAGCUCGUGACGUGAGAUGUUGGGUUAAGUCCCGCAACGAGCGCAACCCUUAAGCUUAGUUGCCAUCAUUAAGUUGGGCACUCUAAGUUGACUGCCGGUGACAAACCGGAGGAAGGUGGGGAUGACGUCAAAUCAUCAUGCCCCUUAUGAUUUGGGCUACACACGAGCUACAAUGGACAAUACAAAGGGCAGCGAAACCGCGAGGUCAAGCAAAUCCCAUAAAGUUGUUCUCAGUUCGGAUUGUAGUCUGCAACUCGACUACAUGAAGCUGGAAUCGCUAGUAAUCGUAGAUCAGCAUGCUACGGUGAAUACGUUCCCGGGUCU